rnacentral:tRNA from 1 species
AAGACAUUAGUAAAACGCAAAUUACAUCACCUUGUCAAGGUGAAAAUGUGGGUUAAAUUCCCACAUGCCUUA